rnacentral:rRNA from 1 species
UUCCCCUAGUAACUGCGAGUGAAGCGGGAAAAGCUCAAAUUUAAAAUCUGGUGGUCUUUGGCCAUUCGAGUUGUAAUUUAGAGAAGCGUCUUCCGCGCUGGACCGUGCACAAGUCUCCUGGAAUGGAGCGUCAUAGAGGGUGAGAAUCCCGUCUUUGGCACGGACACACCAGGGCUUUUGUGAUGCGCUCUCGAAGAGUCGAGUUGUUUGGGAAUGCAGCUCAAAAUGGGUGGUGAACUCCAUCUAAAGCUAAAUAUUGGCGAGAGACCGAUAGCGAACAAGUACCGUGAGGGAAAGAUGAAAAGCACUUUGGAAAGAGAGUGAAACAGUACGUGAAAUUGUUGAAAGGGAAACGCUUGAAGUCAGUCACGUCGACCGAGACUCAGCCUUGCCUUGGCUUGGUGUACUUCUCGGCUGACGGGUCAGCAUCAAUUUUGCCCCUUGGAUAAUGGCGAGGGAAAUGUGACACCUUUACGGUGUGUUAUAGUCUCUCGUCGCAUGCAAGGGUUGGGAUUGAGGAACUCAGCACGCGCCUUUGGGUGUCGGGGCUUUGCCCACGAUACGUGCUUAGGAUGUUGGCGUAAUGGCUUUAAACGACCCGUCUUGAAACACGGACCAAGGAGUCUAACAUGCCUGCGAGUGUUCGGGUGGAAAACCCGUGCGCGCAAUGAAAGUGAAAGUUGGGACCUCUGUCGUGGAGGGCACCGACGCCCGGACCAGACCUUCUGUGACGGCUCUGCGGUGAAGCAUGCAUGUUAGGACCCGAAAGAUGGUGAACUAUGCCUGAAUAGGGUGAAGCCAGAGGAAACUCUGGUGGAGGCUCGUAGCGAUUCUGACGUGCAAAUCGAUCGUCAAAUUUGGGUAUAGGGGCGAAAGACUAAUCGAACCAUCUAGUAGCUGGUUCCUG